rnacentral:rRNA from 1 species
GACGUAGGGCGCGAGCGUUGUCCGGAUUUAUUGGGCGUAAAGAGCUCGUAGGCGGUCUGUUGCGUCCGCUGUGAAAACUCGGGGCUUAACCCCGAGCCUGCAGUGGAUACGGGCAGACUAGAGGUAGGUAGGGGAGAAUGGAAUUCCCGGUGUAGAGGUGAAAUUCGUAGAUAUCGGGAGGAACACCAGUGGCGAAGGCGGCGAUCUGGGCAGAUACUGACGCUGAGGUGCGAAAGCGUGGGGAGCAAACAGG